rnacentral:rRNA from 1 species
AUGAAGUGUUCAGAUAUAUUAAUGCUUUCACUUCACUUGUCAUGCUGUUAUGAACUAUAUUUUCUGCAUAAUUGUUAUAUCAGAAUCGAAUUGACCCAUCCGAUGCUCGACUGUAUCUUAGCAUGCUUAUCGAGUACAUUCCUUAUGUCAUUUUUACAGAUAAAUUUAUUUGUUUCAAGUAUCGCUUUUUUGCCAUAUCAACAUGAAGAGUUGUCAUAUAUUGGCCUGUUAAAUUUAUCGGGUGCCAAGUUCACUUCCAUAUUAUCAAUUCUGUUUCUUCUGAUUUUGGUGUUGGUGUUUGUGUUGUUACAGAAAAUAUGCUCACAUUUAUUUGAAAUAUGUUUAUGCCAUUAA